UGGGGAAUCUUGCACAAUGGGGGCAACCCUGAUGCAGCGACGCCGCGUGAGCGAUGAAGCCCUUCGGGGUGUAAAGCUCUUUCGACCGGAACGAUAAUGACAGUACCGGGAGAAGAAGCUGCGGCUAACUACGUGCCAGCAGCCGCGGUAAUACGUAGGCAGCAAGCGUUGUUCGGAGUUACUGGGCGUAAAGAGUGCGUAGGCGGUUUUCUAAGUUCGGUGUGAAAUCUCCCGGCUUAACUGGGAGGGUGCGCCGAAGACUGGGAAGCUGGAGUGUGGGAAAGGCAGGCGGAAUUCCUGGUGUAGCGGUGAAAUGCGUAGAUAUCAGGAGGAACACCGGCGGUGUAGACGGCUUGCUAGACCAUAACUGACGCUGAGGCACGAAAGCGUGGGUAGCAAACA
rnacentral:rRNA from 1 species